UAAGGAAUAUUGGUCAAUGGACGCAAGUCUGAACCAGCCAUGCCGCGUGAAGGAUGAAGGUCCUCUGGAUUGUAAACUUCUUUUAUCUGGGACGAAAACGGGAUUUUUAUCUCAAUUGACGGUACCAGAAGAAUAAGCACCGGCUAACUACGUGCCAGCAGCCGCGGUAAUACGUAGGGGGCAAGCGUUGUCCGGAUUUACUGGGUGUAAAGGGCGCGCAGGCGGGAUAAAAAGUCAGUGGUGAAAUCCUACAGCUUAACUGUAGAACUGCCUUUGAUACUUUUAUUCUUGAGUUCGGGAGAGAGAGACGGAAUUCCAGGUGUAGUGGUGAAAUACGUAGAUAUCUGGAAGAACACCAGUUGCGAAGGCGGUCUCUUGGUCCGACACUGACGCUGAGGCGCGAAAGCGUGGGGAGCAAACA
rnacentral:rRNA from 1 species